rnacentral:rRNA from 1 species
GUGGAUUAGAUACCCGAGUAGUCCUAGCCGUAAACUCUGAGUACUGAAUUGAAGGGCCCUCCAUAGCCCUUCAGUUGAAGCGAAAGUGUUAAGUACUCCGCCUGGGGAGUAUGGUCGCAAGGCUGAAACUCAAAGAAAUUGACGGGGGCUCACACAAGCGGUGGAUGAUGUGGCUUAAUUCGAGGCUACGCGAAGAACCUUAUCCUAGUCUUGACAUGCACGGAUUAACUCCUGGAAACAGGAGCCAGGCCUUCGGGUACAACGUGCACAGGUGCUGCACGGCCGUCGCCAGCU